rnacentral:misc_RNA from 1 species
UACGUAGGGUCCUAGCGUUAUCCGGAAUCAUUGGGCGUAAAGAGCUCGUAGGCGGUUCAGCAAGUCGGCUGUGACAGUCAGAGGCUCAACCUCGGAAUUGCAGUCGAUACUGCUGUGACUCGAGUCCGGUAGAGGAGAAUGGAAUUCUCGGUGUAGCGGUGAAAUGCGCAGAUAUCAAGAGGAACACCAGUAGCGAAGGCGGUUCUCUGGGCCGGCACUGACGCUGAUGAGCGAAAGCGUAGGUAGCGAACAGG